AUGCAUGUAGAGUAAGCUGUUUCGCGCAUUGUUACUGUUGGGACUAGGAGGCAUUAGGAGUCGCCAUUGCAGCCAUCCGUGUAUGCCACGGCCAUCGUGUCCACAAAUCUCGUAGGAGGCUGAGCACUCGCCGCCAAUAUGUUUGAACAAGGGCUCGUUUUCCUUGCUCCAUGCAGCUCGAGCAUGGGAGCACAUCAAGAGGAUGGCUUCGCCGUUGGACGGGAAGAUGGUGCGCGUAUCGUAGCUCCUUAAUUUCCGCUAUAGGAAAUUAGUGUCGAGUCGAGCUAGCCACGUCGGAUUGACGAAAGAAGGACUAACUUCAUUUUAUUUGUUUGGAUAAGUUAGUACGAAUUGAAUUGGCAGAAUAAAGUUGUGUUACGUGAAAUAUGGGCUCUGGGUGGUAGGUAGUAUUUGUAGCGAGC
rnacentral:lncRNA from 1 species